CGUGAGAGAAAUUUGCUCACAUGGUUAUGCAGGCUGAGAAAGCCCCUGGAAAACCAGAGCUGUUGGCAGCAAAGCUCAGUGCAAUUGGGAAGUUCCAAGAAUCUGAGAAGCUAAUAGUGUGGCUCUCAGUUUGAGGCUGAGGAAGAAUUCAAGGCUAAAGAUCCUGGAACUAGGAUGUCCAAGGGGAGGCGGAGAAAGGCAUCGUGCUCCAGAAGAGAAAGAAUUUGCUGUGUUUUCAACUCAUUGUUCUACGCAGGCCUCCUGCCUAUUGCACGGUGUCUACCUGCAGCAAGGGCAGAUCUUUCCCACUCAGUCCACCGACUCACAUGCCGACCUCCUCAACAGAACACCGUCACAGAAACUCCAUCCACAAACCGUGCUCCUCCAGCCACCUCGCCAGCCCUCGAGACAAUACCACCGACUCCUGGGAAUGAGCAUCACUGAGAAGGAUGGGACCCAGCAGUGUCCGACGGCUUGCAGGGACUGGGCUUCUCAGCCCUGUCACACCUCUGCAUGCAUCCCCCUCACUGACAUUGGCUUUUAUUCAGCAACGUGGAUGAAAGUCUCCUAGACAUUUCUGUGGUCAUUUCCCAAGCAUGAGAUCCUCCAGGCGUAUUCCUGUUGUGACAAACAGCAAGACUUCCUUUUUUAUGGAAAAACAAACCCAGCCCGAUACAAUUGCUCUGAAGAAUCCUCUUUCACGGAAUGUGUGCGUUCUUGCAAACGAGCCUCAUAGGUUUCUGCAGUACGGAUGAAAAGGUAGCCGAUCCUGGGAAGAAGGUGGACUGCUGUGACCUGGCAACCACAAGCAAUGUGUGCAAGGGACCUCAGUGUGUCUGCACUGCUGGCAACCGUGAACGAGAGGCUUCCCAGAGGCUGGGAAUUUCAGGAGGAGGUAGGUUGACCCAGAAGCCUCACUGGGAGUGGGCAAUUUUCUUGCCCUACAACAUGAGGGGGGAUGGGGGAGGCUUCGGCAUCACUUGUCACUCAUGGAGCCCUGGUCAUCUGCAGACUCCAAAGGUGGCGCCUGAGCCACACAGAGCUGACCCAGAAACCUAACAAACAUCUCAGGAGCAGAGCGGCUAGAGUGAGCAAGACUAGGAAGAAACUAUGGAAUCUGAGCUGAAAAUUAACUUCAGAUGAAGACUUAAAGAGAGAUUAAAGACUGAAAUAUAAAAACCCAGGAGAAUUACUUAAAGUUUAAGCUUCAGCCCCUCAAAGUUAAAUCCCUCACUUGCGUAAGCUUCUUCUAAUGCCCUAGGAAAGGCCUCAGUCUUGUGUCCUCAGGGUCGUGCAAUUUUGAAAAUUUGUCAAAAGUAUUUUAACCACCAACAGCUAAGACCACUGUCUUUUCCCCAAAGAAUCAUGAACCUUCCUGAUUUGUUCAGGACAGAGGGAAUUUCUGGGAUGUGGGUAUUUCAAUGCUAAAACUAGUGAAGUCCCCAGCAAAUCUACUUUCCAUUCUCCUGUCUUUCCCUAGUGUCUAUUAAUAGAAGAUUGUACUGGAAAUGGCACAGCUGCUUGUGGGAACUGAUGGAGGGGAGGCUGAACAGAGGAUGCAUUUAGCUUGGGCUCAGUGGCAUAUUUGUGGGUGAUUUCUAGCUAUCUUAUGUUUAGUUAAAGUACUGGUAACAAUCCUAGCAUUGGAACAGCCUCCAGGAUGCUAGCACCCCCUUACCCAACUCAAUAUUUUCUCAAGAAGAUAGAAGACUACCCUUGUUAAACACCAUGAACAUCUGCUAUGUUUAACAGCAGAAGCACAAGGCUGGUGGUGGAAAAACAAAGUUUGGAUGAUGUGAUGGUUGAUUGAUUGUGUCAACUUGAGUAAGAGAAGCCCAACUAAAUUGGCUCAGCAAUUCCACAACUUAGGCUGUGGAAGACCACCCUAGGGCAGCUGCCUGCCUGGAUGGUACUAAGGGGAAAUGAAGAAGGAUGGAUCUGCUUUUCUCUCUUCGAAGGAGAUCCAGUCUUUGCCUUCACCUUGGAUGUCAUCUCCUGGCUUCAAGGGCAGACUCUUCAGCUUCUGUUGCAGACCCUUCAGCCUUCCACGGCAGACCCAUUUACCUUCUAAUAUGGACUCUUACGGGACAUGCAGUGAGCUCCAGGCUUUUGACUGCAUCCUUUGGAUCUCCAGUGUGCGGACAGACCCUCUGCUCUCUUCUACACCUGACUCUGGCUGGCCAUUGUAAGCCAAUCUUAUAAAUUCUUACAUAUUUGUAUAUUUUGUUUGUAACUCUUUCUCUGGUAAACACUGACCGAUACAGAUGCCAGAGCCAGAGGUCAAUCUAAACAAAGGUCUUCACCUGAUCAAACACACACUCCUGAUGGUAGAAGGGAUUUUAAUUGAUACUUUGUCAAAAUGGGAAUUUUCCCAAUCAUGAACUCUGUAUAUAAUGACCAGUGAACAAUAUAUUUUCCUUUGCUGCUAGGAAUAGAGUGAAAUGUGCUUUUUCAGAUUUCAUGUUUGGAAGACAUGUCGUGGGAUAGUUUCCAAAACAGAGAGUGGGGGCAAAUGCAGCAGCCUCCAGCUUGGCUGUGCCUGCAGGCAGAGCAGGCACAGGCUGAGUACCCCUGCUCAGUCUGGCUCAGUCUGCCCACUUGCAACCAAGAGACUGAACUGGAGACCUAACCAAACCAGUGAGAACCCCCUGGGGACACCUUCCAGCCUCCAGCUUGGCCGUGCACGCAGGCAGAACAGGUGCAGGCUGAGUUCACCCGGCUCAGUCCAGCUCACUCUGCCCACUUGCAAGCAGGAGACCGAACUUCCACUUGAUUCCACACUACAGAGGCACAGAGGGGCAUAAAGGCCAUUGUCCUGAGC